GCUGGGGGAGGAAGAAGAUCUCUCGGUCUGGUAACUUUAUAAGGAAUGAGAUUUUGUCCCGAUUGGAUAUUCCAACCGGGACAAAAUACCACCCCUUUUGUCCCGAUUGGUGGUUUUGUCCCAGUUGGAAUCACCAACCCGGACUAAACCGUUUGUCCUGGUUGGAAUUUCCAACCGGGACAAAAAGGUUCAGCCAUCGGUGCAAUAUUUCUAGCCAUUACAGCCGGGACUAAAGCUCAACCCCCC
rnacentral:lncRNA from 1 species